rnacentral:rRNA from 1 species
AGUGAACGCUGGCGGUAGGCCUAACACAUGCAAGUCGAACGGCAGCACAGUAAGAGCUUGCUCUUACGGGUGGCGAGUGGCGGACGGGUGAGGAAUACAUCGGAAUCUACUUUUUCGUGGGGGAUAACGUAGGGAAACUUACGCUAAUACCGCAUACGACCUACGGGUGAAAGCAGGGGAUCUUCGGACCUUGCGCGAUUGAAUGAGCCGAUGUCGGAUUAGCUAGUUGGCGGGGUAAAGGCCCACCAAGGCGACGAUCCGUAGCUGGUCUGAGAGGAUGAUCCGGCACACCGGAAACGGGAAAAGGUUCAGACCCCCAAGGGGGGGAGGCGGUGGGAAAUUUUGGACAAGGGGGCAAGGCCGACUCCGCCCAGCCCGGGGGGGGAAAAAGGGCCUUGGGGUUUAAAACCCUUUUUGUUGGGAAAAAAAAGCGUCAGGUUAACUCCCCGCUUUUUGGGGGGACCCAAAAAAAAAAGCACCGGUAAAUUUCUG